CUGGCGGCAUGCUUAACACAUGCAAGUCGCACGGUCAGCAAUGGCAGUGGCGGACGGGUGAGUAACACGUAGGAAUCUAUCCAGAGGUGGGGGACAACAGCGGGAAACUGCUGCUAAUACCGCAUGAUACCUGAGGGUCAAAGGCGCAAGUCGCCUUUGGAGGAGCCUGCGUCUGAUUAGCUUGUUGGUGGGGUAAAGGCUUACCAAGGCGACGAACAGUAGCUGUUUUUUUUUAUGAGA
rnacentral:rRNA from 1 species